rnacentral:rRNA from 1 species
UACCAGCACCCCGAGUGGUCGGGCCGAUUAUUGGGCCUAAAGCCUCCGUAGCCGGCCUUACAAGUCCUCCGUUAAAUCCAGCUGCUUAACAGAUGGGCUGCGGAGGAUACUAUAAGACUAGGAGGCAGGAGAGGCAAGCGGUACUCAGUGGGUAGGGGUAAAAUCCGUUGAUCCAUUGAAGACCACCAGUGGCGAAGGCGGCUUGCCAGAAUGCGCUCGACGGUGAGGGAGGAAAGCUGGGGGAGCAAACCGG